ACAGUUCUGGUGUGUGCACCA
rnacentral:siRNA from 1 species